GACGAACGCUGGCGGCGUGCUUAACACAUGCAAGUCGAACGGAAAGGCCCUGCUUUUGUGGGGUGCUCGAGUGGCGAACGGGUGAGUAACACGUGAGUAACCUGCCCUUGACUUUGGGAUAACUUCAGGAAACUGGGGCUAAUACCGGAUAGGAGCUCCUGCUGCAUGGUGGGGGUUGGAAAGUUUCGGCGGUUGGGGAUGGACUCGCGGCUUAUCAGCUUGUUGGUGGGGUAGUGGCUUACCAAGGCUUGGACGGGUAGCCGGCCUGAGAGGGUGACCGGCCACAUUGGGACUGAGAGACGGCCCAGACUCCUACGGGAGGCAGCAGUGGGGAAUAUUGCACAAUGGGCGGAAGCCUGAUGCAGCAACGCCGCGUGCGGAUGACGGCCUUCGGGUUGUAAACCGCUUUCGCCUGUGACGAAGCGUGAGUGACGGUAAUGGGUAAAGAAGCACCGGCUAACUACGUG
rnacentral:rRNA from 1 species